CCCUUAGAUGUUCUGGGCGGCCCGCGCACUACAUUGGCACUAGCAAAGAGAUCCUAGAUUGAAUUCUUUGGGGUAUUCUUCUAAAUGGUGUCGUGACUGGGAUAAAUCCUUGUAAUUAUUGGUUUUGAACGAGGAAUUCCUUGUAAUCGCGGUUUAUCAGCUCGCGUUGAAUGCGUCCCUGCCCUUUGUACACACCGCCCGUCGCUCCUACCGAUGGAUCGUCCGGUGAAGCUCACGGAGUGACUGUUCACGCAACGGUUUACGAAGUGAAAUGGACCUCACGAUUUAGAGGAAGGAGAAGGCGUAACA
rnacentral:rRNA from 1 species